rnacentral:tRNA from 1 species
UUCCCGGUUCGUCCAAUAGGCAGGACAUCAGAUUUUGAUUCUGGAAAUGGUGGUUCGAACCCAUCACUGGCAGCCA